GGGAUCUGGCAUCCUACCUGAUCCGAGGUCACCUUUAAAAAUUGGGGGGUUUAGCGGCUGGAGCACGCCGGGACGAUCCGAACGAGGUUCGCGUUUUACCGCGUUUUACUGCGCUCAGUGUACCGACGAGCCCGCCGAUGAACUUGGGGGCCCCGGGCCGCGCAGGCCCCGGGCCCCCCCCCCCCAAGCCGAGGCCUGGGGGUCGGGGAUCCCCCCAAACGCGCUCCCCACCAGCACCGCGCCCAGCCACCGUGUCCCCCAAGCCCCAACACCUCCCUCUCACCCACCACGCGGCGCCGUCGCGGCGGGGCCCCCCCUCCCCCGGCAGCCAAAACUCCUCUUACCCACCUAACACUCUCCGUCUCCCCGGGCGAGGCGCCGCCGGCCACCCACAACCCCCCCUGCCCCACCCGCAGCUGCCUCCGCACUCACAACACCUAAAAGCCGACCUCGCACAAAAAAUGAUCCUCCGCCCCAAAACAGCACAACAAACGCCGCCGGAAGGAUCAUUACUGAGUUGAAAAACUCCACCCUGUGAACAUACCUCUGUCGUUGCUUCGGCGGGCACGCCCGCCGGAGGUUCAAAACUCUUAUUUUUUCCAGUAUCUCUGAGCCUGAAAGACAAAUAAUCAAAACUUUCAACAACGGAUCUCUUGGUUCUGGCAUCGAUGAAGAACGCAGCGAAAUGCGAUAAGUAAUGGUGAAUUGCAGAAAUUCCUGGAAUCACCAAUCUUGGAAGCCAUUGCGCCCGCCGGUAUUCCGGCGGGCAUGCCGGUUCAGCGUCUUUCCCCCGCCCGCUGGUGGUUGGGGGGGCCCCCGGCCCCC
rnacentral:misc_RNA from 1 species